GACGAACGCUGGCGGCGUGCUUAACACAUGCAAGUCGAACGGAAAGGCCCUGCUUUUGUGGGGUGCUCGAGUGGCGAACGGGUGAGUAACACGUGAGUAACCUGCCCUUGACUUUGGGAUAACUUCAGGAAACUGGGGCUAAUACCGGAUAGGAGCUCCUGCUGCAUGGUGGGGGUUGGAAAGUUUCGGCGGUUGGGGAUGGACUCGCGGCUUAUCAGCUUGUUGGUGGGGUAGUGGCUUACCAAGGCUUUGACGGGUAGCCGGCCUGAGAGGGUGACCGGCCACAUUGGGACUGAGAUACGGCCCAGACUCCUACGGGAGGCAGGAGGGGGGAAUAUUGCACAAUGGGCGGAAGCCUGAUGCAGCAACGCCGCGUGCGGGAUGACGGCCUUCGGGUUGUAAACCGCUUUCGCCUGUGACGAAGCGUGAGUGACGGUAAUGGGUAAAGAAGCACCGGCUAACUACGUG
rnacentral:rRNA from 1 species